rnacentral:rRNA from 1 species
UACGUAGGGGGCUAGCGUUGUCCGGAAUCAUUGGGCGUAAAGCGCGUGUAGGCGGCCCGGUAAGUCCGCUGUGAAAGUCGGGGGCUCAACCCUCGGAUGCCGGUGGAUACUGUCGGGCUCGAGUACGGAAGAGGCGAGUGGAAUUCCUGGUGUAGCGGGUGAAAUGCGCAGAUAUCAAGGAGGAACACCAAUUGCGAAGGCAGCUCGCUGGGACGUUACUGACGCUGAGACGCGAAAGCGUGGGGAGCAAACAGG